rnacentral:snRNA from 1 species
UGUGCACUUCAGCAGCUUAUAUAGCAAAAAUUGGGAAGAUACAGAGAAGAUUAGCAUGGCUCCUGCCCAAGGAUGACAUGCAAAUUGGUUAGAUAUUCUGUAUUUUU